CCUACGGGAGGCAGCAGUGGGGAAUAUUGCACAAUGGGGGAAACCCUGAUGCAGCGACGCCGCGUGAGCGAUGAAGUAUUUCGGUAUGUAAAGCUCUAUCAGCAGGGAAGUAAAUGACGGUACCUGACUAAGAAGCCCCGGCUAACUCCGUGCCAGCAGCCGCGGUAAUGCGUAGGGGGCAAGCGUUAUCCGGAUUUACUGGGUGUAAAGGGAGAGUAGACGGCUUGGCAAGCAAGAUGUGAAAGCCCGGGGCUCAACCGGGGAAUUGAAAUUGAAACUGGGUGGCUGGAGUGUCGGAGAGGGAGGCGGAAUUCGUGGUGUAGCGGUGAAAUGCGUAGAGAUUAGGAAGAACAC
rnacentral:rRNA from 1 species